UAGGGAAUAUUGGACAAUGGGCGAAAGCCUGAUCCAGCAACGCCGCGUGCACGAUGAAGGUCUUCGGAUUGUAAAGUGCUUUUAAGGGAGAUGAGAAAGGACAGUAUCCCUUGAAUAAGCCUCGGCGAACUACGUGCCAGCAGCCGCGGUAAAACGUAGGAGGCAAGCGUUAUCCGGAUUUAUUGGGCGUAAAGCGCGUGCAAGCUGUUUGGAAAGUUGGAUGUGAAAGCUCCUGGCUUAACUGGGAGAGGUCGUUCAAAACUACCAAACUAGAGAAUGGGAGAGGGAAGUGGAAUUCCGGGUGUAGUGGUGAAAUGAGUAGAUAUCCGGAGGAACACCAGUGGCGAAAGCGGCUUCCUGGACCAUUUCUGACGCUUAGACGCGAAAGCUAGGG
rnacentral:rRNA from 1 species